rnacentral:tRNA from 1 species
UCCCUGCUGGCUCAGGUGGUAAAGAAUCUGCCUGUAGUGCAGGAGACCUGGGUUCAAUCCCUGGGUUGGGAA